UAUCUUUUCUUCCUCAGUAUGAAAUUUGCCGAACAUUUAAGCGCGCAUAUCACACCGGAAUGGAGAAAGCAGUAUAUCAACUACGAGGAAAUGAAGGCUCUGUUGUACGCUGCAGUAGAGCAGGCUCCAUCGGCAGAUGUAAGCGAACCAUACGUUUUAGAUAGUUUCUAUGGCAAGUUUGACGAAAAGUUUUUCCAUUAUUGCGAUAAGGAGCUGGCUAAAAUAAAUACCUUCUAUUCUGAAAAGCUAGCAGAGGCUACACGUAGAUUCGCUACACUUAACAAUGAACUAAGCGAAAUUUUGUCGGUUUCCGAAGAUGUCCAAAGUUGUAAGACACGCUAUCGUAGUCACAUUCUUCACAAGAAACCAGUAUCAGCACGAAAACUUCAAGAGUUGAAAUUAGCCUUUUCUGAAUUCUAUCUCUUUCUCAUUUUACUCCAAAAUUAUCAGGAUUUAAAUUUUACUGGAUUUCGAAAGAUUUUGAAGAAACAUGACAAGCUUCUAAAUGUAGACUCUGGUAGCAAAUGGCGUGCAGAGCAUGUCGAUACAGCGAUUUUCCAUACGCGUAAGGAUAUAGAUAGACUCAUUGCGGAAACCGAGGCUGUAGUCACUCGAGAUCUGGAGCAUGGCGAUCGUCAAAGAGCCAUGAAACGGCUUAGAGUGCCUCCGCUCGGAGAGCACCUCUCUCCUUGGAUUACGUUUAAAGUUGGUCUUUUUUCUGGCGCGUUUAUUAUACUUUUUAUAGCUGUGAUAUUAUCUGCUAUGCGAUACAAAAAGAAGGAGAACUGGACGGUAUUGUGUCGAAUUUAUCGUGGACCACUUCUUAUGAUAGAGUUUUUGUUUCUGAUGGGAAUCAAUGUUUAUGGCUGGAGAUCUUCUGGUGUAAAUCAUGUGCUAAUAUUCGAACUUGAUCCACGCAAUCAUUUAUCAGAACAGCACAUUAUCGAAAUGGCAACUAUACUCGGCCUGGUCUGGUCCAUGUCUAUUUUGGGUUUUUUAUACAGUGAUACAUUGGGUAUACCACCAUUUGUACAACCAAUGCUGUUUUACGCACUGUUGGCACUGUUUUUAUUUAAUCCUACCAAGACUUUGCGACACGAAGCGAGAUUCUGGACAUUACGUGUUUUAGGUCGCGUCUUCUGCGCUCCAUUCUUUUAUGUAGGUUUCGCGGAUUUCUGGUUGGCUGAUCAACUCAAUUCUCUUCAUACAGUCUUUUUAGACUUUCAGUAUUUUAUCUGUUUCUAUAUUCAGAACUCCUCUUGGACCGAUGUUACAGAUACGGAAACCUGCAUAAUGCGUGAAUUAUCGAUGAGACCGUUUGUGGUAUGCUUACCGGCGUGGUUUCGAUUUGCGCAAUGCCUCAGGCGUUACCGAGAUACAAAAGAGACCUUUCCACAUUUAUUAAAUGCGGUCAAGUAUGCAACAAGCUUCUUUGUGGUUAUUUUCUCCUAUUUGCACUUAAUAAACAGCAAGUACUAUACGUUAUCUACUGAGAAUCCUUAUUUUUACUUGUGGCUGACAGUCAGUAUCGUGAGUUCCUGUUUUACUUAUACGUGGGAUGUGAAAUUGGAUUGGGGUCUCUUUGAUAGCAGUGCUGGAGAAAACAAAUUCCUUAGGGAAGAGAUAGUUUAUUCGUCACCUUAUUAUUAUUAUUUUGCAAUAGUCGAAGAUUUUAUCUUGCGAUUUGGAUGGGCGUUUUCUUUGUCUUUAACAGAGAUGGGAUACAUCCACGCAGAUCUUAUGGUUUCCAUAGUUGCUCCGUUAGAAGUCUUCAGUCGCUAGAAGGUUCAUGUGGAAUUACUUUCGACUGGAGAACGAGCAUCUAUACAACGUAGGCAAGUUCCGAGCAGUACGAGAUAUUUCCAUAGGACCUAUUAGACGUGACGAAGACACUCUGAAAAAUAUGAUCCAUCUAAUGGAUAAUACAAAUGAGAAUAACGACAAUGGAGAUGAUGAUAAUGAUGAAGGAUUAGUGGAAACUCAUGAUCACGAUGUCUGACACGUUACGUUUCGUAUGGAAUUUCUUCCGUUUGGAGAACGAGCAUUUGAAUAAUUGUGGGAAGUUUAGAGCAGUGCGAGACAUUUC
rnacentral:misc_RNA from 1 species